rnacentral:rRNA from 1 species
ACAACUUUCAACAAUGGAUCUCUUGGUUCUGGCAUCGAUGAAGAACGCAGCGAAAUGCGAUAAGUAGUGUGAAUUGCAGAAUUCAGUGAAUCAUCGAAUCUUUGAACGCACAUUGCGGCCAUAGGUAUUCCUUUGCCAUGCCUGUUCGAGCGUCAUU